ACUCUUCCAGUCUGCACUGACUCCCUGGGGGUGACAUCUCAAUGUGUGGAAACAGGAAGAGCUGUAUGCAAAUCUGGCCUGUGUGUCACCGUCUAUAACAGACCGUUCCUGUGAGAGCAGAGGGACAGUGAUGCGCGCCAGUCAAAGUCGUCCUCACUGCAACUGCACUGCAAAUAUGAUCCGUCUGCUCCUUCCCCUCUUGGCCUUCCUGCCAUGUCUGGACGCCAUCACUUUGACCUCCUCCCCCGCUCAGGCCAAGUCACCUGGAGGGUCCGUGAAGGUGUCCUGUCAGGUUUCUGGGUACGCCUUGACAGAUUACGGCACGAGCUGGAUUCGGAAGCGUCCGGGGAAAGCCAUGGAGUGGAUGGGAAUCAUCUGGGGAGGCGGAAGCAUCGACUCUCCCGCACCGUUCAAGAGCCGGUUCACCAUCUCCAGAGACAGCAGCAACAUGCUGUACUUGGAUAUCAGCAGCCUGCAGACUGAGGACACAGCCGUGUAUUACUGCGCUCGACUAACACAGUGACGCAGGGCGGUGCCACGUCUGUACAUAAACCCACAGGCUGCCUCAGAGACAAACGGCCUCGUGCUCCCCUCCAGAUCAGUGAGAGAAUCCUAAUGCUGGGCCAGCUGCAUUUUAUUAAGACUCCUGAAGGGGUACAGGUACAGCAUCGUUGCUACAUAAAAAGGCGAUAGAAAUAUUUAUAUACUGUGAUUCACACAAAUCCAUAAUCUACAGUUUUUACCUCUCUCCCGUCCCCACAUUCUUUCCUAUGGUACAGAGCCACAGACACAUAUUCAGCUUAUAUUUGUACAUUUUCACUUGAGUCUUCCCUGUAGUUUUUUUGGCUUUAUUCAGCAUUUAGAUUUUUGUUUCUUUUAUGUCUCGUUUUAUUGCGAAUAAAUGUGUUUCAACAAUUGAAUUUCAGGUGGGUUUUGAGCAUGGGAAUAAAAUAAAUAAUUGAUCAUUUUUAUUAAAACAAAUUCAAAACAUUUUAGAGCAAACAAGCUCUGAAAAGAAAUGGAGAUGGGUUUUGCAAAAAU